rnacentral:rRNA from 1 species
AGUGAACGCUGGCGGUAGGCCUAGCACAUGCAAGUCGAACGGCAGCACAGGAGAGCUUGCUCUCUGGGUGGCGAGUGGCGGACGGGUGAGGAAUACAUCGGAAUCUACUCUGUCGUGGGGGAUAACGUAGGGAAACUUACGCUAAUACCGCAUACGACCUACGGGUGAAAGCAGGGGAUCUUCGGACCUUGCGCGAUUGAAUGAGCCGAUGUCGGAUUAGCUAGUUGGCGGGGUAAAGGCCCACCAAGGCGACGAUCCGUAGCUGGUCUGAGAGGAUGAUCAGCCACACUGGAACUGAGACACGGUCCAGACUCCUACGGGAGGCAGCAGUGGGGAAUAUUGGACAAUGGGCGCAAGCCUGCUCCAGCCGUACCGCGUGGGUGAAGAAGGCCUUCGGGUUGUAAAGCCCUUUUGUUGGGAAAGAAAUCCAGCUGGCUAAUACCCGGUUGGGAUGACGGUACCCAAAGAAUAAGCACCGGCUAACUUCGUGCCAGCCGCCGCCGUAA